AGGGGCGGGUGGGGGGUUCCGCGGGGCUCUGGGGUCGUCAUGGGAACUUACGCCGUCCAUCCGCCUCAGAAACCGCCAUUGAGAUCUGAUUCUAUUCCUGUUGCAAGGGAUGGCAGACAUUUUUGACAGGCACAGGAUAAUGUAUGGAUGAGGGUGUGACAGCAGAAUAUGAAUUGGGAAAAAUUUCAUUUUCUGGUGUCUCCUGCGGUGGAUGUCACUUUCGCGAUGCCAGCACAGAAUGGUACAUGGAGAAAGCGGAACAGCAGCCUAGGAAUUGGGAGGAAGAACGACAUUGGGACCCUCAAGUAACAAGUCAUGAAAACCGCGUUACUUCUGACCAUUUUCGUUCCUGGCCGCCCCCUUCCCGUGAGCGCGGGGAGAGAGCACUGGGGGUCUUGGGUCUCCUCGCUCGCCUUCAAGGGGAAACAAUGGGGGGGGCGGGGAAGUGAUGGAUACAAUUUUCCCCUCAUAAUGGACUCUCUCUUGAAAUCCACCCUCCCCCCGUUUUUCCUGGAGAAAGGAUCUCUUCCAAUGAACACAUCGUAUAACUACAAAGAGGCAGAGGCAGUCGAAACAGAAAUGGACCAAUCAGGUUUAUUAAUAAAGCAAAUCCAAAAAUUCCCAGAUAAUUUUGGAUAUUAAAAAAAAAUCUAUUGUACAAGA